UGUCACUCGCCUCAAAUCAGCAUAGCUUAACAGUGCAGAUCCAUGUAAUUUUCAACACUAAUAUUUGGGAAUGUGUGAGUGUCAAAGUAAGUUUAUUACUUUCCUGACAUAAUUUAAUCUUAAUUAAUUUUACUGGCUCGAUAUCCAGGUCAGAA